GAUGGAGAAGCUAUUAUUGUUAAUAAACAAAACUUCAAAGUACAUGAACUGAUCAUUGAACAACACAUGAAUAUAUUACAUACAAGCUUGAAACAAGCUGACACAAAUAUCAUUAAAUACAUAAUUCACAAACAAAAAAAGAAGAACAGAGAGGAUAAAAUAUCAUUCAUGAGAAGGAUAAUAAGGAGUGGCAAUCAAGUAGAGCUCGCUCUUUCUUGCUGCAGUUAUUCCGGAAAAUUCAGUCAUGUCCACAUCCUUAGGCUUCAAACCAUCAGGUAAUUUCCAAUCAAAAUGAUACAACAAUUUAGCUAGUGGAAGAUAAAUAUUGAUCAAACCAAAUGUAAUCCCAGGACACAUUCUCCUUCCGGCACCAAAAGGAAGAUACUCAAAGUUAUUCCCCAUGAAAUCCACAGAGGUCUGCUCGAAUCUCUCAGGGAUAAAGCUUUCUGCAUCUUCCCAAUACUUCGGGUCCCUCCCCAUUGCAUAAACGUUAACCAUCACUCUUGUUUUUAAUGGGAUAGUGUAACCGUUGAUGUUUGUUUCUUCCCUGCAUUCUCUGGGGACUAAGAGAGGAACUGGAGGAUGAAGUCUUAAGGUUUCUUUAACAACUUGUUUUAGAUAUUUCAAUUCCUCAAUAACAUCUUCAUCGAACGUUUCUUUUCCUUUGAAGGCUUGUCUUACCUCAGCUUGUGCCUUCGCUAAUACACUUGGUUUCCUCAUCAUUUCUGACAUAGCCCAUAUCGUUGUUGUUCCUGAAGUUUCUGCUCCCGCAGAGAACAAGUCCUACAUUUUAUUAUUAAUAAAAGAAGAAUUUACAUGAAUAGCUGGUGAAUGUAUAAUAUGUGUGUAUAAAUUUGAAGGAUUUUCCCUAUAAAAGUAAGAAUACUUACUAUUAUAAUUGCUUUGAUGUUGUCAUUGGUGAUAGGAAUUUUAAGUUCUCCACUCUCCUUUAAUCUUAGUAGAACAUCAACUAAAUCUUCACCUCCAAAUGCACCAUUUCCCUUUUUACCACUUGCAAUAUUCUUUUUAUGCUCAUUGAUAACAUCCUCAACAAUAACAUCAGCAUUUUUAUGAACUUUCAAGAUUUUACUCUUCAAUCCACUUAACACUUGAAGGAUCUUGAUUGAAGGGAAAAUGUCAGCCAAACUAAAUCCACCUGCCACUUCCAUCAAUUCUCUCACUAUUCCAAGGAAUUUCUCUUGAUCUUUCAACAAUUCCCCAAAUGCUGUUUUGCAGGUAAUUGAGCUCUGGUACCAUAAAAUCCGCUCCGUAACAUUUAUUGGCUCGUCACGUGUUGAUGACCGGAUGAAUUGUACAAGGCGUGAAGCCUCGUCCCAUCUGAUGGAACUAAAGGAUCGUACGUUCUUGGUAGUGAGAAGUUCCAAGACACAUACUUUGCGCAUCUGUCUCCAGUAAUCUCCAUAAGGACUAAACGCGAUGUCCGUGCUCUUGUAACAUAUUAUGUCGAGGGCUAAUAAUUUAGGCCUUGAUGCAAAAGCGAGGUCAUGAGUUUUCAGUACCUCUCGCGCCAUAUCCAUAGAAGAAACUAUGAUGGUAGAAAUUUCGCCUAGUUGAAGGUGCAUGAAAGGUCCAUGUUUUUGCCCAAGUUUGUGAGUGCAUGAUGAGGAAGUCCACCUUCUAAUGCCAAGUGAUGGACACUUCCUAUAAAGGGCAAUUUCCAUGGGCCUGGAGGAAGCUUUUUGUUUAAGUUUCUUGAUUUUUUCCAAUCCACAAGUAGUAUAUAGAGGAAUGAUAGGAAAAGGAAUAAGAAAAUGAAAUUGAAUGGAAAUUGAAACUCCAUUAGAUAGAUAGCUAAAGCUAAGAGAGGGGUGUAUAGGCUUUAAUUCUUCUGGCCUAAUAUAUAAUCCUAAUGUCAGAGAGAAAAUGAAUUGAGAGUAAGGAUGUGUUUGUCCCCGAAAUUAAGUGUCUUUUUUGCUUAUUUUCGGUAUUUGGUAAUACACAGAAAAAAAGUGUUUUGAAACUUUUUUGAUCAACCAAACAUGAUUGUUUUUGGAAAAGACUCCACACAAAACACACACUAAAUAUAAUACUAAUCUUAUACCUGCAAGUCAUUAUCUCGUAUAAUGUAGUACUAAGUAUAAAGUAUAUAAACUAAAUGAAAGUUGAAUUCGAGAUAGAGAGAGACCAUGUAUAAACUUAUAAUAUUUGCUUAUCAAUGUUUGGUGAAAGCAAUAAACGUGUUUUUAAUUGUAUUGUAUUCAAUUAUCUCCUAAUUGAUAUCAAUACAAUAACAAAAACAUCUUUAAUUAAUUUAAUGUCAAACACAUGAUGUAUUAACAACUAUUAAAUUAGAGCCGGCAAUGAUGUGGAAAAUCUUAUGCGAAUCAAUAUUGAUUAAUGAGUAUCGACCUAUCGUCACAAUUCGUUUCGUAAUUAAAUGAGUUGAUCUAGAGCGGAAGGUUAAUAUUUGGGUUUAUUUAUGCUCUCGCUAUGAUACAUUUGAUUUAUUAGUGCCAUCAACAAAGAACUAGAUUUUGUCACAUGACAUUAUUUAAAUUCUUCAUUAUUUAUCAGCUCCCACCUCUCUCAUCUCCUUUUGUGAGUUAUAUAUAUAUAUAUAUAUAUAUGAUCCAUUUUAUUAAGUUCAGUAUAUAUUUAAGUCUUUUCUCAUUACUUCUCCAAAGGGCUAAGGGGAACACACAAAAAGGCUCAGUUAUUUCAAUUAUUGUAUGGAGAGCAUUAUUUUGGAUGGUGAAACUAUUGCUCCUUUGUCCGUAUUUACUUGUCCAAUUUUGAAUUGAAAUAUCUAUUAAAAAAAUAAUACUAACAUAAUGAGUUUAUCAUUUUACUCAUAUUCAUUAAUUGAUAGAAGUUCAAAAUCAAUUUACUCAUUAAAGAGGUUAUACCUUUUUCAAAAACAUUAACUCUCUAAAUAAAUUGAGGGUAUAAUAGGUAUAAAAAUAAUAAUAUUUUUUUAAUUUGUCAAAAAUGACAAGUAAAAAUAUCAAAAUUGAACAAGUAAAACCGGCAGAUGGAGUAUUAUUAAUACACAAAAUUCAAAGUACAUACAAUAGAUGAAUAUACUAAACAAGUAUAGGCAAACUGUCAAGCUGACAUAUACAUACAAGCUUGAAACAAGAUGAUAUAUAAUAAAGUUGGAUUACCAUUUUAUUUGUUUACCAAAUUAAAUAUUUAUUUAAUUAAUUAUUACUAAAUAGUAAUAUCUUAAUAUUUUUUGAAUCAAUUUAAAUUGUGAGGUACAAUGAAUCGUCUAAUUUACUAGUUCAAUCCAGGGAAAUGAAAGGGUUUUUGAUAUUAAGUGAUAAUACAAACAAAAGUUGAAAGCAUCCCAAGUCUCAUUUCGAGAUAACAUUUAAUAUUUGUGUUAAAUUUGCUUUUAUCAUUGAAAUUUAAAACUUUCACGGUUAGCUUAUUUUUUCAAUAAUAAAGACCAUUGAGUUCUUGUAAUUAUUGGGAGAUCAAUAUUCCAUAAAUAGUACUCUUACAAUUAAUUCUUUGUGAAACUAUUUUUUUUUAUGACAAUCCCAAGAAGUUUUUCUAAGGGAUGAAUUAGUAAAAUUAUCUUUUUAUUUAUGAUUUCUUAAUAUAUGUAUAAAAAGUAAAAUGAUUCACUAAUAUGAAAUGGAGGAAUAACUAAUGACUUUUCACCUUAUAACUAUUGGUUUUCUUUGUUUACAUAUUUCUCCAUCCGCAGAAAUGAUCCAAGUGAACCGUUAAGAAAUUCAUUAAUCACUGUUAAAUUGAUAAUGAAUUAUAUUAUCUCAUUCAUUAUAUUCUUCUCAAUAAUCAGCUUUUAUAAAUCAAACAAUAUGUAUAACUCCACCAUUGAAAGAUAUAGUAGAGGAAAACUCCAAAUUUAUGAGGUAAAUGUUUAUGUUUAUUUUACUCUGUUACUUCAUAUAAGUAUUCAUGUUUGCUUCUAUUAUAUUUUUUAGCUCUAAAUUAGAGUUAAUCAUACAUUAUUUUUAGUAAUAUAAAUAUAUUAUAUGUUUACAUCUAUUAUCACAUCAAAAUGCAAACUUGCAGUUUCAUAUGAUAUAUAUAAUGUAUUUAUCGUCCAACAAAGAAAUAAUUCAAUAGAAUGAAGUCUCAAGGAUUCUUUAACAACUUGUUUUAGGUAUUUCAAGUCCUCAAUAAUAUCUUCAUUGAAAGUUUCUUUUCCUUUGAAUGCUUCUCUUACCUCAACUUGUGCCUUUGCUAGCACACUUGGUUUUCUCAUCAUUUCUGUCAUGGUCCAUAUUGUUGUUGUUAUUGAAGUUUCUGUUCCCGCAGCGAACAAGUCCUAUAUUUCAUUAUUAAUUAAAGAACUAAUAAAUUCACUUAUUUUCCUAAAUAAUACUGAACACACCCUUAGAGAUUUUUUUUAAGGGAAAAGGCUUAAAUAUGUCAUUGAACUUUGAGAAAAAACUCAUCUAUGACAUCCGUUAGAAGUUUGACUCAUCUAUGUCAUUUCUGUUAGAGAAAAAUCUCAUCCAUGACUUUAUUUAUUAACUGAAAACAGUUUUGGUUUUGCAAAACCAUUUUUUUUACAUGUGGUCAAUCAUGAUUCGGUCACUUCAUUAAUUAAAUCAUUUUAAAAAGGGAUUAGGUUCAAAUAUGCCAUCAAUCUUACAGAAAGGCUCAUCUAUGUGUUUGAGUCAUAUAUGCUAUUUCAGUUAACAAAUUAAAUAAUGACUUGGAUGAGUCUUUUUUCAAAAGGAAAUGACAAAGAUGAGUCAAACUUUUAAUGAAUUGCAUAGAUGAGUCUUUUUUCUCAAAAUUCGAUGGUAUAUUUGAGUCUCUAAUUAUAAGAGAAAGAAUACUUACAAUCAUAAUUGCUUUAAUGUUGUCAUUGGUGAUUGGGGUUUUAAGUUCUCCACUCUCCCUUAAUCUUAGUAGAACAUCAACUAAUUAAUCUUCACCUCCAAAUGCACCAUUUCCUUUUUUACCACUUGCAAUAUUCAUUUUGUGCUCAUUGAUUACAUCCUCAACUAUAACAUCAACAUUCUUGUGAACUUUCAAGAUUCUACUCUUCAAUCCACUUAGCACAUGAAUGAUCUUGAUUGAAGGGAAAAUGUCAGCCAUACUAAAUCCACCAGCCAAUUUCACCAAUUCCUUCACUAAUCCAAUGAAUUUCUCUUGAUCUUUCAACAAUUCCCCAAAUGCUGCUUUGCAUGUAAUUGAGCUCUGGUACCAUGAAAUAUGUUCGGUAAUAUUUAUUGGCACGCCACGUGUUGAUGACCGGAUGAAUUGCAUGAGGCUCGAAGCCUCGUCUCGCCUGAUGGAACUAAAGGACCGUACGUUCUUGGCAGUGAAAAGUUCCAAGACACAUAUUUUACGUAUCUGUCUCCAGUAAUCUCCAUAAGGACUAAACGCGAUAUCUGUGCUCUUGUAAAAUAUUAUGUCGAUGGAUACUAAUUUAGGCCUUGAUGCAAAAGCAAGGUCAUGAGUUUUCAGUACCUCUCGCGCCAUAACCACAGAAUAAACUACGACCAUAGAAAUUUCGCCUAGUUGAAGGUGCAUGAAAGGCCCAUAUUUUUUGCCCAAUUUUGUGAGUGCAUGAUGAGGAAGUCCACCUUCUAAUGCCAAGUGAUGGAUACUUCCUAAAAAAAGGCAAUUUCCAUGGUCCUGGAAGAAGUUUCUUGUUAAAGUUUCUUGAUUUUUUCCAUUCCACAAAUUGUAAAUAGAGGAAUGAUAGGAAAAGGAAUAAGAAAAUGAAGUUGAAUGGAAAUUGGAACUCCAUUAGAGCAAAGGCUAAGAGAGGGGUGUCUCAAUUCUCAAGUUCAAAGCUUUAUUUGUAUAGGCUUUCUUUUGACCUACUAUAUAAGAGCUUCUUGUAUAACUGUACAGGUGAACAAAAAAAAAUCAACAAAAUCGGCGCAUGUAUAUCUAAUGUAUCCAUAUUGUAAAUAAUCUAUAUGAUGUAUAACAAUAUAUCAUAGAUGUAUAUACAUCCAUAUAUGUUGUUUAUACAAUAUUCAUAUAUAACUGAUAGAACUAGUUCAUUUUCCUUAACGAGCUGAUUUUUAGUCGGUUAAUUUUUCCCUAUAUAUAAAAUCAUCUAGCAAUAUGCAGUUUGUAGACGUCCCUAGCUCAUUAAAUUUUUGGAAUUUUGUAUUUUGAAAAAGGUGAGUUUUUGGCCAACUUUGAGCAAUCAUAACUUCUAGCUCAAGAUGAGUUAGGUGUAGUUCCAGUUAUGGUUGCGUAAGCUUUGUGGAAUGAUCUUUCCAACGCCACCUAGUUUUCUCGAUUCCGAGUUCGUAUGAGUGAGUUAUGCCCUUUGUAAGUUGGGCAGUUGGCAGGGAAAUCCGUCCGGAAAUUGUAAGGGUAUUUUGGUCUUUUCCCCUAGCCAAUUGUUUUGGUUAUAUUGUUGUGUUAGACUGAUUUUNNNNNNNNNNNNNNNNNNNNNNNNNNNNNNNNNNNNNNNNNNNNNNNNNNNNNNNNNNNNNNNNNNNNNNNNNNNNNNNNNNNNNNNNNNNNNNNNNNNNNNNNNNNNNNNNNNNNNNNNNNNNNNNNNAGGAGAAGAAGAAGCAAGGUUCGUAGAGAUCGUCGUGGAUUUCGUCGGGGGUGAUCCCUAUUAAGGUAUGUGAGUUCAUAGUGUUGGGUUGGUUCUUUCCCCCACUCGCCAAGCUCGUUUUAUUUAUGAGAAAAGAUUGGUUGUGUUGUUGAAGUUGUUGAAGUCCCUUGUUGUCUUGGGCAUGUUUCCGGUUGUGUUUUGAAGUAGGAAUCUCUUGUAUGUUGAGGUAUUUUAUGAUUCUUAGUGGUUGGGGUUGAAACCAUUGAAGUUUAGAAGGUUUAGAAUUGGAGAAAAAAGGGAGAAAGGUCGAGUUUUCUGGGGAAGAGGGUGGCGCGUCACGCUUGCCAGCGCGCCCAAAAAGGGGUUCUGAAGGUUCCCCCUUGGGGCGGCGCGCCUAGCAGAACGCCAGCAGGCCCCCUCUGAAAUUCGAGGGCUGGCGCUCCGCGCCUUGCAGAGCGCCAAGGACGCCAAAACUUCUCUUUUAUUCCCCACCUUCUCAUGCAUGUUCCUUGGUAUUGUACCUAUGUUUCCUAGUUGUUUCCAACACUCCAAGGUACUUCUAAAAGUCAAGAACUCAUCCGUAACAUGAGAUCAAGCACCUUGAAUCUAUAAAUCCAAUUCAAGGAGAGUUAGUUUCCAAGUCAAGUGAAGUUAAGAGUUAAUCUUGGAAGUUAAGAAGCAAGUCAAACAAGUUUUUAAAGUUGUUUAAGAAUCUUUAUUGAACGUUUUAACUUCAUUUUAAGACUCAAGUUUCAAGUCAAGAAAAGGGUAUAGAGUUUCAAGUCAAGUAAAGGGUAUAGAGUUUCAAGCUAAGUAAAGAGUCUCAAGUUUCAAGUAAAGUCAAGAGUUUAAAGUGAGUUCUUUUCUCAAAAGUUAUUAGGGAACUAUGUAUUCCCAAAGAAGUUUUAAAGAAAUGUUUUUACNNNNNNNNNNNNNNNNNNNNNNNNNNNNNNNNNNNNNNNNNNNNNNNNNNNNNNNNNNNNNNNNNNNNNNNNNNNNNNNNNNNNNNNNNNNNNNNNNNNNNNNNNNNNNNNNNNNNNNNNNNNNNNNNNNNNNNNNNNNNNNNNNNNNNNNNNNNNNNNNNNNNNNNNNNNNNNNNNNNNNNNNNNNNNNNNNNNNNNNNNNNNNNNNNNNNNNNNNNNNNNNNNNNNNNNNNNNNNNNNNNNNNNNNNNNNNNNNNNNNNNNNNNNNNNNNNNNNNNNNNNNNNNNNNNNNNNNNNNNNNNNNNNNNNNNNNNNNNNNNUUCUGCUUAGUAUGGAUGGGGUAUGGGACUUCAUUCAUACAUUGCACGAGUAGACCUUGAGAGGAAGCAUGGUAUUUUAUGAUAUUAUAAAUAUGAUUUUGAAUGUCAUGUUUUAAUAGUUUUACAAGCUUUAUAUAUUGCAUGUGUCUUAUUGCUAUAUAUAUUGAGUUAAAUUAUUCAUGAGUUGAACAGAACCAAGGUAAGUGUUCUCCUAUACUCCUUUCAAGCUUAAGUUGUGGUUUAGCUUUCCAGCUCGCAUACUCGUACAUUCCAUGUACUGAUGCCAGUUGGCCUGCAUCUUAUGACGAUGCAGACACAGGUACCCAGGAUCAACAUCCAAUACGCCGUUGAUCCAGUUGAGCACUCCAGGGUCAGGGGUGAGCCUCCUUGUUUCCGGAGGACUAUGUUAUUUUGUGUUCUUAGUUUUGUUUUGUUAGGAUGUUGCGGGGUCUGUCCCAACAUCCAUCUAAGUAUUUAGAGGCUUCAUAGACAGUCAGUCAGUAAGAAUUGAGUCUCUCAGCUAUGUAUAUAUGUAAAUAUUCUAUUUUGAGACUCGAGUUGCCCUUUUGGGCCAGANNNNNNNNNNNNNNNNNNNNNNNNNNNNNNNNNNNNNNNNNNNNNNNNNNNNNNNNNNNNNNNNNNNNNNNNNNNNNNNNNNNNNNNNNNNNNNNNNNNNNNNNNNNNNNNNNNNNNNNNNNNNNNNNNNNNNNNNNNNNNNNNNNNNNNNNNNNNNNNNNNNNNNNNNNNNNNNNNNNNNNNNNNNNNNNNNNNNNNNNNNNNNNNNNNNNNNNNNNNNNNNNNNNNNNNNNNNNNNNNNNNNNNNNNNNNNNNNNNNNNNNNNNNNNNNNNNNNNNNNNNNNNNNNNNNNNNNNNNNNNNNNNNNNNNNNNNNNNNNNNNNNNNNNNNNNNNNNNNNNNNNNNNNNNNNNNNNNNNNNNNNNNNNNNNNNNNNNNNNNNNNNNNNNNNNNNNNNNNNNNNNNNNNNNNNNNNNNNNNNNNNNNNNNNNNNNNNNNNNNNNNNNNNNNNNNNNNNNNNNNNNNNNNNNNNNNNNNNNNNNNNNNNNNNNNNNNNNNNNNNNNUUAAGAAUUGCUAAAGUUGCAAGUUAUUCUCCCAAGUCAAGAACUAGAAUAAAAGUAAUAAUCUCCAACCCCCAAAACGAGGUUACAUGCCCUAUUUAUAGAAAACAAGUCCUAAAUUAAAAAGGGAAACAAAAUAAGGAAAGUUUGUUCUGGCUCACGUCUUCAUUCCACGAGACUGACUCACGGACCAUCACUGGAUCUACGGUCCGUGAGUCCCUUUCGUCAGCCAGGACUUAGAAAAUAUUUCAGCUUCCAAAAAUUAGCUUCUCUGAAGCAAACGACAGAGCUGCAGUACGGACCGUAGAUCGAUCUACAGUCCGUCAAUCCCUCUCCAUAGCUCCAUACUUAGAAUCUUCAAAAAUCAAGUACUGGAACCCUCAUAGUAUCAAUCUACGGAUCAUAAGUACGGUCCGUAGAUUAAUCUACGGACCGUCAAUGGCCACCGUGGUUCCACACUUGGUCAGAUUUCCUUGAUUUUGCCUUCCAUGCCUUGCCUGCUGAUCUACGACCACCAUCUACGGAGCGUCAAUGGACCUACGAUCCGUAGAUCACCUCUGUAGAUGCCCUUUUUCUGCAUUUCUUUCAACUGUCUCUUUACUUCCGCGCCUUAACAUCUUUCUGCAAAAUAAUGAUAAAAACACAUAAAAACCACUACAACAAGGCCCUAGACACACACAACUUGUAAAUGAAAUGUAUUAGAAAUACCGUAAACUCACGGUAUAUCAUAUAGCAGGAGCAACAAUUGAUUUUUAUACCAAACAAUUCACAAUGCUAGAGGCCAGUGGAGAUUAUGAAAUGCUGAAUGAACUACCACAAGUAAUGAGUGGAAAUAGAAUGAGGAAAUGCAGAGAGUGCCAACGAUAGAAGAGGUCAAAAAAUGGUUAUGGGGCUAAAUCAAAAUAGUGCAGGAGGACCAGAUGAGAUGACAGGGGCCUUCUAUCAAAGUACUUGGGAAAUCAUUGGGAAAGACAUUCUUAAAAUGACUAUAGCUUUUUUUUGUGGAGCUGAACUACCUAGGUACAUCACACACACAAAUCUAGUCCUAAUUCCAAAGAAGAUGAUGGUCAGUACAUUUUCAGAUUUGAGGUUUAUUUCUCUGAGUAAUUUUGUGAACAAAAUUUUUCACGAAUUAUCCAUGAGAGAAUUAAAGAAGUACUCCCUCAAAUCAUCUCUCCGGAACAAGAAAGAUUUGUACAAGGGAGAAGUAUAGUAGAGAAUGUAUUACUGGUCCAAGAAAUAAUUUCAAAAAUAAGAAAAAAGGGAACACCACCUAAUUUAGUCAUUAAGUUGGAUAUGAUGAAAGCUUAUGACAGAGUUGAGUGGCUUUUUCUAACAAAGGUGAUGAGAAGAUUGGGAUUUGGGGAUAUAAUAAUUGAUAUGGUGUUUAGACUGAUUAGCAACAACUAGUACUCAGUUUUGCUAAAUGGACAACAGAAAGGUUUUUUCAAAUCCUCAAGAGGUCUCAAACAGGGUGACCCUCUAUCACCCACUCUCUUUAUAUUGGCAACAAAAGUGAUGUCUAGAUCCCUAAAUGCCCUAAUGAUAAAGAAAGAGUUUAAAAGAUUUGGUAUGCCAAGAGGAAGCUUGAAGCUAAAUCAUUUAGCGUUUGCGUAUGAUAUGAUCAUAUUAUGUAAAGCGGAGGUAGGCACAAUGAAAAUGGUUAGCGAAACAUUGCAGAAGUAUGAAGAGGUAUCUGGACAAAAAGUGAAUUAAGACAAAAGUGCAAUUUACUUGCACCAUAGUGUCAACAGAGGAGAAUCAGUGGUAGCAGAAGUAGCAACAGGAAUCCUAAGGAAAGAAUUUCCUUUUACGUAUUUGGGGUGCCCUAUCUUUUACAAGAGAACGCAAAAAACGUACUAUAAACAGUUAAUUCAAAGGAUAUGAGCUAAAAUACAAGGAUGGAAAGGUAAGUUAUUAUCUUAUGGGGGACGGGCAGUUCUAAUUAAACAUGUACUACAGAGUACUCCUAUACAUUGUUUAUCAGUCAUGAAUCCUCCCAGCAAUGUCUUAACUGAUGUGCAAAAAACGAUGGCCCAAUUCUUUUGGAGUAGUUGCGUAGGAGGAAGAGGCAGACCUUGGAGUAAAUGGGGAAACCUAUGUCUACCAGAGCUGGAAGAAGGGAUAGGUUUUAGACUAAUGCAUGAUAUUUCAAUGGCUUUGUUUUGUAAGCUUUGGUGGAAUUAUAGAACAAAUAAGUCUUUAUGGAGUGAAUACAUGAGAAACAAAUAUUGCAAGUCAACGAAUCAGAAUCUGGUCAUGUGGGAAGUAGGAGGAGGAGCUUCACAAGUAUGGAAGAAAAUGCUACAAGCAAGAGAUCUAAUCGAGCAUCAAGUACUCUGGAAAACUAAGAAUGGAUCAGCUUCACUAUGGCACGAUAAUUGGACAGGACUGGGGGACCUGUAUACAAUUACGAGGGAAAACUUUGCAUGGGAUGAAAGGUAUGAAGUAGUUAGGGAUCUAACAAAAAAUGGGGAAUGAGAUAUGGAUUUAUUGAAUGAAACACUGCUAGCAGAAUAUGUUGAACACAUCAUAAGCCAAAUCAAGCCCCGUAAAGGUAACACAUAUGACAAACCUUGCUGCAUGUUAGAUACGAGGGGUAGUUUCUCAGUCAAAACAACAUGGAACUAUAUAAGGCACAAAGAGGAACCAAAUAUAAUACAUAGGUGGAUUUGGAAUAAGGGGACUCCUUUUAAAGUAGCCGUUAUGAUAUAGAGGUUGUGGAAGUUCAAAAUCCCUGUGGAUGAUAGAGUGAGAAGGUGGGGCCUUGAAGGACCUUCAAGAUGCUGGUGUUGUGACAAACCUGAUCAAGAAACACUGUCACAUGUGUUUCGAAAAUCAGAAAUUGCUAACAGGACUUGGUCCUACUUUUGUUCUUUUGUAGGUCUAAACAUUACAGGAUUGCAAUUAAGGGAAGUUAUAAUAUUAUGGUGGGGUGCGAACAUUAAGACAUAUAUGAGACCUUAUUAUAGAGCUAUUCCAGGAUUUAUAAUUUGGGAACUGUGGAAAAGAAGGAACAAACAGAAGCAUGAAGGAAAUAGCACUUCACUGCCCAAAAUAAUUCACAAUGUGACCAGACACAUGAAUAUGUUUGCUAAAGUGAAAAGGCCUACCAUGAGAGGAGGAAGCUGGCCAGAAAUACUUAAGGAAAUAGAGGAAUAUAGGCCUAAAAUUAAGGUCGUUCAGGUUAAAUGGGAAAUCCCACCGGCUGGAUGGAUUAAAUAUAACAUGGAUGGUGAAGCUAAAGGAUGUUAUGGAUUUAGUUCAUAUGCCUACUGUCUAAGAGAUGAGAAUGGAGACAUUAUAUUUGCAGAAGGUGCCAGGAUUGAAAAUACAACAAGUACUAUGGCAAAAGCAGUAGCGAUUUUAGAAGCCAGCAAACAUUGCAAGAACUCUCAAUAUAAUCAGGUCAUUAUUCAAACUGAUUCUAUGUUACUGUGCGGAGUGCUAAAAGGAAAAUGGGUCACCUUAUGGGCACUUUCAGAUAUUGUGGAAGAAAUCAAAACAUGCUUACAAGAUAAACAAUAUACAUAUCAACACAUUUUGAGGGAGGGAAAUCAACUUGCUGACUACCUAGCAAACAAAGCAAUAGAACAGGGGACCUGCAGAUAUGAUGAUUUCAAAAGCCUUGAACCACAUGAAAGGAGAAUCUUAAACAGUGAUAAAAGUGAAAGCCCAUAUUUAAGGAUAUCUUCCUUAAGGAGAUAAUGGGAAAGGGGAGGCUACAACAUAAAGUUUAUUCACAAUAACAGAAUUUACAAAAGCCAUAGGGGCGACAAAAAAUGUGAAAUGCUAAAUAGACAUGGCUAUCUCAGCCAACAACAACAAAGACUCAGCAAUUUGGGGGUUACAAGGUUCAGGCGAGUGAACCUGGAGGAGACACUUAUUCCCAGUUGAAAGUGGCGGAAUGCAGCUUCCAAGACACCCAUGCGAGCACCAUUUGGAGAAAUGAAGUGAGCAAAGUUAGUAAAGCACAAGGCAACAAAGGAGUUCAAUGAAGUGAAAAUACAUAGUGAAUAAGUCAUCCCUAUCAAAUGGCUUCAACAGAUCACUAGUAGAACGCAGUUCAUUGUACCAGAGAACUUAGCUAUGAACAAAGAUAUCAGAAGCAAAAACAAAGGGGAAGGGAGUAUAGCUGAAAAGGACACACUUACUAUCGAUAGCUUAAAUCCAACUUUGCAAGAAUCCCACAACAUAAUAUUAAAUGAUCCACAACAACAGGAGACAGAAUCCUUUGAUCAUCCAAAGUGAAAACAUAGCAAAAAUGGAAAGGGUUGGAAGGAAAGAAGAGUGGAGGUGGAUUGUUUUAGGAAACCCGAUAUUUGAGGGAUGUGAUUUAAGGAUGGGAAUCUGAUGGGCUGGAUUCCUGUGCCUUUAUUUUGCUUUGGUUGUUUCAUUAGUGGAUUUGGGUAAUAGACCCAAAUUUGCUUUGUUUCUCAUGUAGUUACUUUCCUAUUUAAUAAAAGGCUUUGCCAUAUUUUGAUUAAAAUAAAAAAAUAGACCGUAGGUCUGACCACGGUCCGUGGUCCAGGGCUGUAGGUCGAACCCCAGAAUUUUAGUCCCAGUCGCCGAACGACGGCCGACCAGCACGACCAUCGGUCGAUCACGGUCUGUGGGUCUGGUCCGUCGAUGACCCCGACAACUUUUAAGUCGGGGGUCGUUUGGUCUUUUCCUUAUGCGUUGGACCCCUAAACUACGUCAUUUAAUCCCUAAACUAUGUGGUUUUGGUCAGUUUAAGCUUAGUAACUUAAUUAGAAUCUACCCUAAGAAAAUCAUUCACCUAAAUUUAGAAAACAUAGAACGCAAGAGGAGAAAGAAGUUGACCAAGCCCUAGUCCAAGAACACAACAGGUUUCCACCAAUUUCAACCCUAAAAUCGAAAGAUUUCUCCGUGGAAUUCAUUACCAUGUAUGUGGGAUUUCACUAGUGGGUUCCUUUCACCCAUUAGGUCCCUAGAAUUUAGUCAAAUUCUUGAUUCCCUUAAUAUUAUCUAGACGUAAGGUUUCUAGAAUUUUAGCAGAUCAUUACAAUUUAGUUACUUUAAUGUUCCUAAUCAGAUUAUCAUGAUUUUAGUAUAAAUUCCUUCAUAUAUUCAGAACCCUAGCUAUGUAGUUCUUUUAGUUCAUGAAUUACAAAUGCUAGGUCAGUUUAUUCGGUUAUACAUGCUCCAGUUAUAAAUAUUUCAUUAUCAGUACAUAAUGUUGCAUUUUCAGUUAGCAUGUCAGUAUUUGAGCUAUCCAGAAUUACUUCAUUUCAGUUAUAAAUUGCUAAACUACAUAAUCAGUUGGGAGUAAACUUAAUACUGAGUGGACUAGGGUCAGUCACCCGCAAAUCCCAAAAGUGCGUGCCCCAUAGGUUGUAAGUCUCCUUUGUGGGCAACAUUUUAGUGAUCACACCAGUCAUGCCUUUAUAUCUCUGGCAGGGUAUAUUGGGUCCUCUCGAUGGGGUGUAUACAUCGAAAUCCACAUUUAGCUCAUGUGGUUUUAUGUCGGUUAUUAAUAGCUUCCACAGUUCAGUCAGAUUCUAUUGCAUUGACCAUGUUAUCAGUACAGUCCAUAUUCAGUCUCAGCAUGUUAUAAACUUGGCCAUUGCAUUCAGUUAGCUUAUGUUCAGUAUUUUCAUUAUCCUUAUCAUGUUUAGAUUAUGUCAUUGCUUUAUUGCUUUGUUCAGUUAUGUUGUUAUUCAGCUUUACGCUAUCCUUCAUGCUCAAUACCUUUCAAGUACUAACACAUACUCUACGCUACAUCUUCUCAUGAUGUAGGUUCAGGUCCUCAUCUUCAAGAUCACGCAUAGAUCGGUUCCCGAUAUCCAGUUCAGGAGCAUCAGUGGUGAGUCCUCAUAUCCCGAGGAAAUCAGGCAUGUUCUUUUGAUUUUAGUCUUUCAUUUUAUUUUCAAUUUUGCUAGAUUUAGCUGGGGUAUGUCCCAGCACUUCUAGUCAGUUAGAGGCUUAUUUCAGACAUAGUUAAAUUCAGCUUUAGUAUUAGAGUUUUACUUUUCAGUUGUUGUUAAACUUUUUUUUUUCUUAUAUUCAGAUUUAGUAUAUGGGUAUUCCCUAUCACUUCAUAUUAUCUCAGUAUUAGUUUCCGCACAGUAUGUAUUCAUUCAAUUUACUUUAGUAUGCUUAUGAUAUGCCAGCAGGGUUAGCUUGGGGUCACUCGUGAUCCUAGGUCCCGUGUUCGUGUCCUGGGGGUAGCUUUGGGGCGUGACAACACACCACAACAAAAUGGUGUGGUGGAAAGGAAGCAUAGACACAUUCUUAACAUUGCUAGAGCUAUUGAUUUCAAUCUCAUUUACCUAUUAGCUUUUGGGGGUAUUGCAUCAAGGCUGCAGUGUAUUUAAUGAAUAGAUUACCUAACUUAAUUAUUGCUAACAAAAGUCCAUAUGAAUUACUUCACUCUAAACAGCCAAAUCUGUCUCAUCUAAGAGUCAUAUGUUGUAUUUUCUAUGCUUCAACACUAUCUAGAGGGGAUAAGUUCUCAGCAAGAGCUGCUCCUGCCAUCCUCUUAGGCUACUCAGACCUACAAAAGGGUUACAUAUUGUUGGACAUCAAUUCUACCAAACUGUAUGUGAAUAGAGAUAUGGUUUUCCAUGAAGAAACUUUUCCAUUUGCCAAAGUGAUGCCUCAGACUAAUCCCUCAGUUGGUUCCCCUUUGGAGACAAUAUAAAAUCUUGAUCCGGUGAAUGAGUCUACUAAUGAAGAUAGUGACGAACCUGAAGCUGUUGUCACAAGAAAUGAAAAUGCUCACGCAGUAGAUGUUGGUAUUGAGAUUACUCAAAAAGAAGAUGUCAAUGAGAAUUCUUCAGUAUGCCAAAUGCCUUAAAUUGAUCCAGUACUAGAUAUUUCUGAAGUUUUCCCUAGGGUACCAUCACAUAUUGACCCUCUAAUCAGAAGAACUUCAAGAAACAUCAAAGAACCAAUUUGGAUGAAAGACUAUGUUACUACUAAGAAACACAGUAGCACCAGACAUCCUAUGGCCAAUUCUCUAAAUUAUGACAAACUGAAGCCUUGUUACAUGGGUUAUUUGAGCAAGCUUUCAGAUUGUGUGGAACCUAAGUACUUCAGCCAAGCUGCCAAGGAUGAGAGGUGGAUACAAGCUAUGCAGCAGGAAAUCAAAGCUCUUGAGGAAAAUAAUAUUCGGAUAGUGGUUGAUUUACCAAAGGACAUGCAUACAAUUGGUUCCAAAUGGAUAUACAAAGUGAAAUAUAGGGCAAGUGGUGAGGUAGAAAGGUUUAAAGCCAGACUAGUAGCAAAGGGAUAUAGCCAACAAGAAGGACUAGAUUAUCAUGACACUUUUUCUCAUGUUGGCAAGAAGGUGACAGUGAGAUGUGUCAUUGCUCUAGUAGUAUCAAAAUGUUAGACAUUAUACCAAAUGGAUGUCUAUAAUGCAUUUCUUCAAGGUGAUUUAGAUGAAGAGGUCUACACGGAGAUGCCUGAGGGUUUCAAAAGACCAGGUGAGAACAAAGUAUACAGGUUACUCAAAUCAUUGUAUGAGCUUAAACAGGCCUCAAGACAAUGGAACUUAAAACUCACAAAAACAUUGCUAGCCACAUGUUUCACUCAAAGUGCUCAUGAUUACUCAUUAUUCACACUCAGAAAGGGGGAAGACCUAGUGAUUGUUUUGGUCUACGUAGAUGACUUAUUGAUUACAUGGAGUAACACAAAGUUGAUCACUGAAGUUAAGGAAAUCCUGCAUAGACAGUUCAAGCUGAAUGAUCUAGGUGAACUUUCAGAAGGAGUUAUUCUGAAUCAAAGGGAGUAUAUCUUAGAGCUUAUUGCUGAUGCAAGCCUAACUGGUGCUAAACCUGCACUCACACCAUUGGAGUCUAAUAUGAGAUUGACAUCAGUGGAACAUGAUCUAACAACUGGCUACACUGGAGAUGCUAUGCUCUAUGAUAUUACUUCAUACCAAAGGUUGGUUGGUUGGUAAGCUAUUAUAUGCCACAAUCACUAGACUAGAUAUAAGCUAUGCAGUGCAAACACUCAACUAGUUUAUGCAAUCUCCUAAGAAGUCACACAUGGAGGCUGCUACUAGAGUGGUUAAGUAUUUGAAGGGUACAGUUGGUCAGGGUAUUUGGCUGCAUUCUGAACCUACCAACAUACUCACAUGUUGGUGUGAUUCUGAAUGGGCUGCUUGUCCCAACAUAAGAAGAUCCAUCACAAGAUAUGUCAUCAAGUUUGGAAACUCUUUGGUAUCCUGGAAAUCCAAGAAACAACAGACUGUUUCAAGAAGCUCAGCUGAAGAUGAGUACAGAAACAUGGCCUCAGCAGUCUCAGAAAUCACUUGGGUUCUAGGCUUGUUCAAAGAGCUAGGAAUAUCUAUCCAGUUGCCUAUUACUGUUUCAGUGACAGUAAAUCAACCAUCCAACUGGCAGCUAACCCAGUAUUUUAUGAAAAGACAAAACAUAUCGAGAUAAAUUGUCACUUCAUCAGAGAUAAGAUCAAAGCAUGGGUGGUUGACACUGCCUAUGUACACACACAACAACAACUUGCAGACUUAUUGACAAAAAGGUUGAGUCAGGCCCAACAUGUAUACCUUUUAGGCAAGCUUGGUAUGCUUAAUGUCAUGCACCCUUCAGCUUGAGGGUGUGUGUUGAAAUAGCUGAAUAUUCAGAAGUUAGUUACUAAUCCAUUAGUUAGUUAGAAGGUCAUUUCGGUCAUUUCAGAAUGUUAGUUAGUGCUAGUUAGUUGCCUCGAUUACUGUGCUGAUAAAUCAGUUAGUAGAUUAGAUAUUUUCUUCUUCUUCUUCUUCUGGCUUUCUAUAUAAUCUGAGGAUGUAUCUCACUUGUAAAAUGAUUUAGAUUCAUAUCAAUAAAAUUCUCUCUAUGUUUCCUCACUCCAGUUUCUUCUCUAAGUUCAUCAAUGGUGUUAUGAGCUUGUAUACUCACAAUUUUUUUUAGUCAGGUACAGUAAAUCCACCAGUCACUUCCACCAAAUUCCUUACUAAUCCAAUGAAUUUCUCUUAAUCUUUAAACAAUUUCCCAAAUGUUGCUUUGCAUGUAUUUGAGCUCUGGUACCAUGAAAUUUGUUUUGUAAUGUUUAUUGGCUUGCCACGUGUUGAUGAUCGGAUGAAUUGCACAAGGCUCGAAGCCUCUUCUCUCCUGAUGGAACUAAACGACCGUAUGUUCUUGGCAGUGAAAAGUUCCAAGACACAUAUUUUGCGCACCUCUCUCAAGUAAUCUCCAUAAGGACGACGCAAUGUCCAUACUCUUGUAAAAUAUCAUGUCGGUGGUUACUAAUUUAUGCCUUGAUGCAAAAGCAAGGUCAUGCGUUUUCAGUACCUCUCGCGCCAUAUCCAUAGAAGAAACUACGAUCGUCGAAAUUUCGCUUAGUUGAAGAUGCAUGAAAGGUCCAUAUUUUUUUCCCAAGUUUGUGAGUGCAUGAUGAGGAAGUUCACCUUCUAUUGCCAAGUGAUGGACACUUCCUAAAAAAGGCAAUUUCCAUGGUCCUGGAGGAAGUUUCUUGUUAAAGUUUCUUGAUUUUUUCCAUUCCACAAAUAGUAAAUAAAGGAAUGAUAGGAAAAGGAUUAAGAAAAUGAAGUUGAACGGAAAUUGGAUCUCCAUUAGAGCAAAGGCUAAGAGAGGGGUGUCUCAAUUCUCAAGUUCAAAGCUUUAUUAGUAUAGGCUUUCUUUUGGCCUACUAUUUAAGACCACCUUGUAUAAUUGUACAGGUGAACAAAAAGAAUCAACAAAAUCGGCGCAUGUAUACAUAAUGUAUCGAUAUUGUAAAUAAUCUACAGUUGUGUAUAUAUGAUGUAUAACAAUAUAUCAUAGAUGUAUAUACAUCCAUAAAUGUUGUUUAUACAAUAUUCAUUUAUAGCUGAUAGCACUAGUUCAUUUUCCUUAACGAGCUGAUUUUUAGUAGGUUAAUUUUUCCUUAUAUAUAAAAUCAUCUAGCAAUAUGCAGUUUGUAGACGUCCCUUGCUCAUUAAAUUUUUAGAAUUUGUAUUUGAUAAUUUACUUUCUUUUCCAUUUCUAGAAAAACCAACAAAAUAGGAAAAGAGACAAUAAGAUGUUAAUUUUUUGUCUAUUAAAAGUGAAUUAGAAAUCAUGCCGUGGAGAUUAACUCAACUAGUUUUCUACGUUAUAUAUAUAUAUAUAUAUAUAUAUAUAUAUGUUGUUUUUAAUAAUUAAAAGAUAUUUUUUUUCAUGUUUUACCCAUAGCAUUAAAUACUAUUCUCCAAAUCAUUUUCAAGUAAUAUUAAACAUCAAUUAAUAGGGAUAAUGUGGUAAAAUAUCUAUAUCAAUAGUUGUUUUUUCUUAAUGGGUACUGUUUGCAACAACUUUUAACGUGACAUAAAAUAAAUUCCAAUCACAAAAAAAUAUGAAGAAACAUAAUUUUAUUCAUCAAGAUUGCAGGUACGAUUCUGUUGAUCAGUUGAUUCCUCUCUCAUAAGAUUUAUGCAUGAUUUGAGGGCCGUUAGUGACAUAUUUCUCGAACUCGAAUGAUUUAGAUUUGACCUCUAUAUGAAUAUUCCAUGACUUUUGUGGAAUAUAUCGAGAUAUUCAAGAUUCAAGGGAAUAUAGUACCCUUUAUAUAGACAUGAACUAGAGUUUAGGGUUGAGUAGCCUCCAAAAAUUCUAAUUGGAAUUGAACACACCUUGUAGAGUCCCAACUCAAAUUGAACAUGUCUUGUAGAGUUCUAUAAAAUUUAAAUGUCUACAGGUACGUCAAGUCUAACAAUGACCAGUAAAAAUGAAUGGAGGGGUAGAUGGUUUAGAUUAUUUGCCAAAACCAACCAUGUAACCAUAGUCAAACAUUAUCUUCCUUCUCUAUCCCCGGACUCCCAACCAGGGGCAGAGCUAUGUGGUCGUGAGGGUAAAAUGAUAUACAAAGUGAUUAAAUAACAUGUUUUAGACACCCUUAACACAAUAGACUGUUGUAGCCUAGUAGUUUCAGACGCUUCAAAUGAGCCAGUAUUCACAUGAAUCAAACUAGCAGUUAUGCAAUUUUUGGAGACCAAAUUAUUGCUCCAAACCCUCUCCUUUUCCUUUCUGAUCUAUGUGCACGAGUUCAAGAGGAGAAUAGAGUUGGAACACAAAAAAAUCAAAAGGAUUAUACUUCAAUUGAGAUUCAUCAAUGGUUAAAAAAAACUCAUAACUUUACAUUUCUCAGGUGACCAAAAUGUUAUCUUUUCCUUUAAUUUCUUUUAAAGUCAAAAACAGAGAAAAUACGAUGAGACAAUAUUUUUUGCUUGAUUUUGCAGAAGUUUACAACUUGUGUUGUUCUUCUUCUCUUUUCUAAUACUGAAUUAUUCAAGCCGAGGAAAGUGGGCUGUAAUGGAGGACUUGGACGGAUGGGCUACUGCAGGGGAGCCAAAUCCUAGGAGAGAACAUGGAUCCUUUGAGCGAGAUAUUGACAAAAAGAAGAAGAGAAUAAUUCGCGGUAAGGUUGAAAAGAUUCAUUUGUGCCAUUAACACAGAACUAGAUUUUGUCACGUGACAUUAUUUAAAUCUGUCAUUAUAUAUUUAUAUACAUACAAAGUUAAAACAAGAUGACACAAAUAUCAUUAAAUACAUAAAAUACCCCGACUCCUAUAUUAAAUAUCAUUCAUGAGAAGGAUAAUAAGGAGUGGCAAUCAAGUAGAGCUCACUCUUUCUUGCUGCAGUUAUUCCGGAAAAUUCAGUCAUGUCCACAUACUUAGGCUUCAAACCAUCAGGUAAUUUCCAAUCAAAAUGAUACAACAAUUUAGCUAGUGGAAGAUAAACAUUGAUCAAACCAAAUGUAAUCCCAGGACACAUUCUCCUUCCGGCACCAAAAGGAAGAUACUCAAAGUUAUUCCCCAUGAAAUCCACAGAGCUCUGUUCGA
rnacentral:lncRNA from 1 species